AGUGAACGCUGGCGGUAGGCCUAACACAUGCAAGUCGAACGGCAGCACAGUAAGAGCUUGCUCUUACGGGUGGCGAGUGGCGGACGGGUGAGGAAUACAUCGGAAUCUACUUUUUCGUGGGGGAUAACGUAGGGAAACUUACGCUAAUACCGCAUACGACCUACGGGUGAAAGCAGGGGAUCUUCGGACCUUGCGCGAUUGAAUGAGCCGAUGUCGGAUUAGCUAGUUGGCGGGGUAAAGGCCCACCAAGGCGACGAUCCGCAGCUGGUCUGAGAGGAUGGUCAGCCGCACGGGAACGUGAACAGGGUCCAGGCUCCUACGGUAGGCAGCAGUGGGGAAUAUUGGACAAUGGGCGCAAGCCUGAUCCAGCCAUACCGCGUGGGUGAAGAAGGCCUUCGGGUUGUAAAGCCCUUUUGUUGGGAAAGAAAAGCAGCAGGUUAAUACCCCGCUGUUCUGACGGUACCCAAAGAAUAAGCACCGGCUAACUUCGUG
rnacentral:rRNA from 1 species